rnacentral:rRNA from 1 species
CUACGGGUGGCUCCAGUGGGGAAUAUUGCACAAUGGGCGCAAGCCUGAUGCAGCCAUGCCGCGUGUAUGAAGAAGGCCUUCGGGUUGUAAAGUACUUUCAGCGGGGAGGAAGGGAGUAAAGUUAAUACCUUUGCUCAUUGACGUUACCCGCAGAAGAGGCACCGGCUAACUCCGUGCCAGCAGCCGCGGUAAUACGGAGGGUGCAAGCGUUAAUCGGAAUUACUGGGCGUAAAGCGCACGCAGGCGGUUUGUUAAGUCAGAUGGGAAAUCCCCGGGCUCAACCUGGGAACUGCAUCUGAUACUGGCAAGCUUGAGUCUCGUAGAGGGGGGUAGAAUUCCAGGUGUAGCGGUGAAAUGCGUAGAGAUCUGGAGGAAUACCGGUGGCGAAGGCGGCCCCCUGGACGAAGACUGACGCUCAGGUGCGAAAGCGUGGGGAGCAAACAGGAUUAGAUACCCCCGUAGUC